UUUUUAAACCUUCCUGGAGGAGCUUGCUAUCUAACCGAUAACCCUCGCUACACCUCACCAACUUUUGCCUACCAGCCUGUAUACCAUCGUCGUCAGUUUACCUUAUAAAAGCAGUAAACUAAAAGAAAAAAACUUCAUAACGCCAGAUCGAGGUGCAGCUUAUAAGUUGGGGAUUAGUGAGCUACAAUAUUUAAUAAUAAAUCCCAUUAUGGACAUACCUAUGAAUAUAAGUAUAAAAACAGGAUUCAGAAGUAAUUACAAAGUAAAAAAUUAUAAUGAACACAAAGCUCUAAAAUACGU
rnacentral:rRNA from 1 species